GGGAACAAGAGCAUGCUGGAAAGUUUUCCCUCCUUGUGCUGCCAUACCAGAGGCCAGGCACAAGACAGCAAGAGCUAAGGUCAAAGCCAUCUGCCAGGUGAAACUCUUGUGGGAAUGGUUUGGAGGGAUCCUUGCACACUGGGUUAAAUCCCCCUCAGACACUUGGACUGUGUAGCAACUCAGGAAGGUCCAUGGGAACAGCCCUAGCUCCCGACUUCUCCUGAACACCUGUGGAGUUUUGGUCCCAAGGGAAACAGGUUCCCUAUCUGUCCCAUGCUCAUGCUGAUGACUGCUGGUAUUUCUGCAGUGUGCUCACCCCAUGCCUAGCCAGCUCUCCGAGGAUGAGAGAGGCAGGUAGGCAGGAGUUAUCUCCUUCAACCAGGCGUGACAUCACACUCCUGGCUUCUGAGAACUGCCAGAGAGCACUGCAGGUAUGUGCCAAAUGGAUGAGACCUGAAGGAAGCCCCUCAAAAGCUGAGACUAAUCAUGCCUGACACCUCCAGGAGGUCUGGCAGCUAUAUGCAGGAUGGGAGCAUGGGAAUUCCCACUGGAGAGAACAGAAGGUGGAAUGGGCAGCAUGGGAAGCCUGGGCUGCUGGGGAGGACCAACAGAUGCCGCAGGUAGGGGCAGAGACCCUCUGUGUGAGGUCACUCUGGCUGGACAUAGAACCCCUCUGGGACAGGGGCACAGAGGGUGGAACUGGGAGGUCAGGAGGGACCACAAAGGACUAAUGAGGCAUGGGACAGGUCCAUUGGAGAGGGGCUGGAUGUUUCUUGAGGGCUUAGGGUGUCCCAGGGGGCUUUUGGGCACUCCUGGGCUAGUUUGGGGGUAGUCCCUGGGGACUGGGGGGGACUCCUAGGACCUAGGUGAUAGGAGUCCCUGGGGACCCAGAUUAAGAAAGGAGUCUCACAUGGGGUUAGGAUGUUCUGGGGCUUCAAGGGGAUUCUUAGGACUCAAAGAGAUGGGCAUCCCAGGGGUGCAGUUGGGGGUCACCCAGGUGCAGGGCAGGGAUUUGCCUAUAUGUCCCCCAAGGGAGAACUCUGCAGUGCAAAAGCAGCCAUCUGUCAUGGUGGGGUACCAAGUCUCCUGGCUCCCACAUAUUCAGGGGCCCCCUGAGAAGUGGCAUCUCCGGUUUGCUGAGAGUGUCCCCUCCUUGGCAGAUAUUUGGCGUUGGAGGUGCUUGGGCUCCACAUCGUCCAUCCCAGCCCCCAAGAAAGGGGGUCGCUGGGAAGUGGGGGACAGCUGGAACCCCCCUCCCCACAGAGAAAAUGGCAGAGAGAUUCCAGCCUGGGACCAGACACCUUUCCCCACGAGCCAUCCAGGUGCUCCAUGGGCUGGAGCCACAUCAGACACGGAGGAACAUCUUCAUGUUUUUGGCUGAGAACAACCGGCGGCGGCAGGAGCAGCAGAGGCAGUUCUGCAGGUAACUCCACAGGAAUGGAUUUUCCCAUAUUCCUCUGCUGAAGCAGCCCCGGGGGACAGAAGUGGGAUCUGGAGGCUGCCUGUGGGCUGGACUGCCCUGGCACCUACCUGGACACCCAACAUUGGCUUCUCAUGCAGGACAGAAAGUCCUAGCUGAAGACAGAGGGACCUUGAUGGCAGGCUGUCCCCUUCCCAAAUCUGAGAGCAUGUCCUUCCCUGGC
ensembl:lncRNA